rnacentral:lncRNA from 1 species
AUGUGAAACGAAAUAAAUGACAAGUUUUAAAAGUUUAAGGGGUUAAAAGGAAAAUGUGUUAAAUAAAACACUUUACAAAAAAAUAAUGUCAGUAUCUUGGGGGGGUUCUAUGCGUGCGAUCGAGAACAGGGCCAAGAGAAGAGCCAAAAACCCUAACAACCAAAAAUCAUCAAAUUGAUAAGGAGAUCAAGGGAAAAAUCGAAUGCAUGGGAACAUGUCAAGGAGAGCUCAAGCAUAGGAGGAUAACGGGUCAAGAUAAGGCAAGGUUAUGAAUGUCGGACUUUCAAAGUGUUGAUAUAAUAAUGAAACGGUUGAAUCUUGAAAGGAUAAUCGGAUUGAAGUAACUUAUGCGGUAAAUCCUCAAUUCAGGCGACUUGGAGAAUCGGAGCAAGCGCGUGUUCAUGUUAUGUCAUACCAAACGCUUCCGCUAGUUUGUCCAAAUGUUUUUGGUCCAAAAUUUGUUGCAACGGUUUUUAGUAGUAUUUUGUUGAACGAAUCGUAGAAUUGUAUCUAGUUUGAUUAUGAUUAAAACAGGGGUAUGCCCGUUUUACGGACGGGUCAUGCCCAAAUUUUGUUAAAAUUAAUGCAUAUGCUAUUGAUAUCAUCGUUUUA